AGCGAACGCUGGCGGCAGGCUUAACACAUGCAAGUCGAGCGGGCGUAGCAAUACGUCAGCGGCAGACGGGUGCGUAACGCGUGGGAACGUACCUUUUGGUUCGGAACAACACAGGGAAACUUGUGCUAAUACCGGAUAAGCCCUUACGGGGAAAGAUUUAUCGCCGAAAGAUCGGCCCGCGUCUGAUUAGCUAGUUGGUGAGGUAACGGCUCACCAAGGCGACGAUCAGUAGCUGGUCUGAGAGGAUGAUCAGCCACAUUGGGACUGAGACACGGCCCAAACUCCUACGGGAAGCAGCAGUGGGGAAUAUUGGACAAUGGGGGCAACCCUGAUCCAGCCAUGCCGCGUGAGUGAUGAAGGCCCUAGGGUUGUAAAGCUCUUUUGUGCGGGAAGAUAAUGACGGUACCGCAAGAAUAAGCCCCGGCUAACUUCGUG
rnacentral:rRNA from 1 species